AGUGAACGCUGGCGGUAGGCCUAACACAUGCAAGUCGAACGGCAGCACAGUAAGAGCUUGCUCUUACGGGUGGCGAGUGGCGGACGGGUGAGGAAUACAUCGGAAUCUACUUUUUCGUGGGGGUUAACGUAGGGAAACUUACGCUAAUACCGCAUACGACCUACGGGUGAAAGCAGGGGAUCUUCGGACCUUGCGCGAUUGAAUGAGCCGAUGUCGGAUUAGCUAGUUGGCGGGGUAAAGGCCCACCAAGGCGAAGAUCCGUAGCUGGUCUGAGAGGAUGAUCGGCCACACUGGAACGGAGACACGGACCAGGCUCCUGCGGGAGGCAGCAGUGGGGAAUAGUAGACAAUGGGCGCAAGCCUGAUCCAGCCAGACCGCGUGGGUGAAGGAGGCCUUCGGGUUGUAAAGACCUUUUGUUGGGAAAGAAAAGCAGCAGGUUAAUACCCCGCUGUUCUGACGGUACCCAAAGAAUAAGCACCGGCUAACUUCGUG
rnacentral:rRNA from 1 species